rnacentral:rRNA from 1 species
GUGGGGAAUAUUGGACAAUGGGCGCAAGCCUGAUCCAGCCAUACCGCGUGGGUGAAGAAGGCCUUCGGGUUGUAAAGCCCUUUUGUUGGGAAAGAAAUCCAGCCGGCUAAUACCUGGUUGGGAUGACGGUACCCAAAGAAUAAGCACCGGCUAACUUCGUGCCAGCAGCCGCGGUAAUACGAAGGGUGCAAGCGUUACUCGGAAUUACUGGGCGUAAAGCGUGCGUAGGUGGUCGUUUAAGUCCGUUGUGAAAGCCCUGGGCUCAACCUGGGAACUGCAGUGGAUACUGGGCGACUAGAGUGUGGUAGAGGGUAGCGGAAUUCCUGGUGUAGCAGUGAAAUGCGUAGAGAUCAGGAGGAACAUCCAUGGCGAAGGCAGCUACCUGGACCAACACUGACACUGAGGCACGAAAGCGUGGGGAGCAA